rnacentral:sRNA from 1 species
AAUAACAGAGAGCACAUUGAAACCAAGCAGAAUUUUUCAACAACGCCGGUGCUUAGAAACCGCUCACCUUUUUUAUAAAAAGGCACAUGAAUAUCGAUACUAUUAUCUCUAUCAUAUCAAGAAAUCAAAAACCAAAGAACUGAAAAUAUCAUGAAAUUAAAAAAGAAUAAGAUGAAGAUGAGGGAAAAUGAAAUACAAGAAAACUAGAUUCUAGCCAAACAUUAUAAGCCACCGCUAAUACAGAGGGUAGACAUUGCUAUCACCCCUUGGUUGCACCCUCAAAGCGGAACCAUUUUAGUGAGUUGUUGAGUCCUGGGUAUCUGGAUGUGCAACACCACUCCACGCCCCACCCCAGCCGGAAAUCAUAACGAACCAAGAGGUCGAACCGUACGAGACGGGGUUAACAGCUGAUUGCUCUCUGUACGAGAGAGAGUUGCCCUCCAAGACGACCAGCUUCGUUACUGGACAAUUUCAUUGGUGACAUUUUCAGUUUCGCUGGGAUCGUGUCCGCUAUCUCUCCGUUACUUGGACUUGGACUACGAAUCACAAAGUCGUUGCGUUGACUGUUUGCGAUGUUUUCCUCGACUUCUCCAUGAUUUUGCCGGCAAUCCGUCCCUCGUAACAAGUGAUUCUCAGGUUCCCGCAUCUUGCUACUGCUUUUGACCUCGUUCUCUUCCUCAUCAUUAUAUUUUCCAGAGAGCCAGGUCUGUCUGAGCACAUCUGGUGGUGGUAUGGGCUUUCUCCCGGUGCGACUGACAAUCUGUGCUUCCUCUUCGGGAGUUAAACAAAUGCCGCUCGGUAGAAGCGCAAAUCGUCUAUGUCGGUGAGAAGGUGGGUGCUCUAUCCAACUCAUCAUAUAAGAUUCUGCACUGGUUUCUUCGAAUGGCCCAAGCUAGGAAGUCAACUUUGGUUUGAAAUAAUG